rnacentral:siRNA from 1 species
GUGGCCACGACCAAGGAAUGCCAC